rnacentral:rRNA from 1 species
UGCGGGAACCGCGAUAAGGGACCCCGAGUGCCAGCAUCAAAUGUUGGCUGUCCAGAUGAUUAAAAAUCAUUUGUUAGCAAGGGCCGGGCAAGACCGGUGCCAGCCGCCGCGGUAACACCGGCGGCCCGAGUGGUAGCCGUUUUUAUUGGGUCUAAAGGGUCCGUAGCCGGCUUGAUAAGUCCUUUGGGAAAUCUGGCAGCUUAACUGUCAGGCUUCUAAGGGAUACUGUCAGGCUUGGGACCGGAAGAGGUAAGGGGUACUCCAGGGGUAGGAGUGAAAUCUUGUAAUCCCUGGGGGACCAUCUGUGGCGAAGGCGCCUUACCAGAACGGGUCCGACGGUGAGGGACGAAAGCUAGGGGAGCAAACCGGAUUAGAUACCCGGGUAGUCCUAGCUGUAAACGAUGCUCGCUAGGUGUCAGACACGGUGCGACCGUGUUUGGUGCCGCAGGGAAGCCGUUAAGCGAGCCACCUGGGAAGUGCGGUCGCAAGGCUGAAACUUAAAGGAAUUGGCGGGGGAGCACUACAACGGGUGGAGCCUGCGGUUUAAUUGGAUUNCAACGCCGGAA